rnacentral:rRNA from 1 species
GUGGGGAAUUUUGGACAAUGGGCGCAAGCCUGAUCCAGCAAUGCCGCGUGCAGGAAGAAGGCCUUCGGGUUGUAAACUGCUUUUGUACGGAACGAAAAGGCUCUGGUUAAUACCUGGGGCUCAUGACGGUACCGUAAGAAUAAGCACCGGCUAACUACGUGCCAGCAGCCGCGGUAAUACGUAGGGUGCAAGCGUUAAUCGGAAUUACUGGGCGUAAAGCGUGCGCAGGCGGUUUUGUAAGACAGACGUGAAAUCCCCGGGCUCAACCUGGGAAUGGCGUUUGUGACUGCAAAGCUGGAGUGCGGCAGAGGGGGAUGGAAGUCCGCGUGUAGCAGUGAAAUGCGUAGAUAUGCGGAGGAACACCAGUGGCGAAGGCAAUCCCCUGGGCCUGCACUGACGCUCAUGCACGAAAGCGUGGGGAGCAAACAGGAUUAGAAACCCGGGUAGUCC